AUUUUCUUAGUUUAAUUGGUUAGAACUGCAUUCUUCUAAAGUGCAAAUUUUGGUUCGAAUCCAAAAGAAAAUA
rnacentral:tRNA from 5 species